CCCUUAGAUGUCCUGGGCCGCACGCGCGCUACACUGAUGCAUACAGCGAGUACUCCCAGCUCCGAGAGGCUGCUGGUAAUCAGCAAUAUGCAUCGUGAUGGGGAUAGAUCUUUGGAAUUAUAGAUCUUGAACGAGGAAUUCCUAGUAAUCGCAGGUCAUCACCCUGCGUUGACUAAGUCCCUGCCCUUUGUACACACCGCCCGUCGCUCCUACCGAUUUCGAGUGAUCCGGUGAAUCAUUCGGACCGCGGCCCCUAGGCAUGCGGAAAGUCUAGUAAACCAUAUCACUUAGAGGAAGGAGAAGUCGUAACA
rnacentral:rRNA from 1 species